rnacentral:rRNA from 1 species
UACGUAGGGGGCAAGCGUUGUCCGGAAUCAUUGGGCGUAAAGCGCGUGUAGGCGGCCUGGUAAGUCCGUUCUGAAAGCCCGGGCUCAACCCCGGGAGGCGGAUGGAUACUGUCAGGCUCGAGUUCGGAAGAGGCGAGUUGGAAUUCCUGGUGUAGUCGGUGAAAUGCGUGAGAGUAUCGAGAGGAACACCUGCGGCGAAGGCGGGUUGCUGGGCGUGACACGUGACGCUGAAGUGCGAAAGCUAGGGGAGCGAACGGG